GAUGAAGAACGUAGCGAAAUGCGAUACUCGGUGUGAAUUGCAGAAUCCCGCGAAUCACCGAGUUUUUGAACGCAAGUUGCGCCCGAAGCCAUUCGGCCGAGGGCACGUCUGCCUGGGUGUCACGCAUCGUUGCCCCCCCAAACUCCGGUUCGGGCGGGGCGGAAGUUGGCCUCCCGUGCGUGCCUGCGCGCGCGGUUAGCCCAAAAGCGAGUCCUCGGCGACGAGCGCCACGACAAUCGGUGGUUUUUUUACCCUCGUUCCUCGUCGUGCGUGUCCCGUCGCCCGAACGCGCUCUUGCGACCCUCACGCGUCGCCUCGGCGGCGCUCCCAACGCGACCCCAGGUCAGGCGGGACUACCCGCUGAGUUUAAGCAUAUCAAUAAGCGGAGGA
rnacentral:misc_RNA from 1 species